CUCCCCCACGGCCCAGAAGGACCUGCCUGAGCCCCAGUGGGUUCUGAGCCCAGGGUGGCAGCCCGCUGUCUCCUCCUCCUUGCCCUGCCGGCCUGUUCCUACAGAAUGCUCCAGACUUCUCCUGGUCCAUUUCCCUGGGCUCUGUGAGGCCUGGCCAGCAGAGGGCACGGUCCUCUAUAUUCUGGAGACCGGAGGCUGAAGAGAGCAGCUUUGGGGACCUUUGCGGCUCUAACUCAGCCUCUCCAAGCUGCAGGGAGCCACCGAGGAGCUGGGUGAGAGCUCGGGAGAUGAGGGUAUCCCGAGAUCCCGAGGGAAUUUCACAGAGCUGGCCCCUCCUCUGAUACGGGUCCUGCAGCAUGCCCCCCCCCCCCCAGGCUGGGCACACAGAUGCUCCUCUGUCAUCAGUCCUGGCCUGGCCCGGUUCUUCUGUCCCAGGAACAGACCAGAGUCCUAGGACAGCCCCCUGCCCCCGGCCCGCGGGAGGGCAGCGGGAGAACUCAGGGCCAGGCCUGCGGGACCGUUUGCCUUCGCGGGCAGGGUGACGGGCAGCAGGUCGGGCAGUUUCAUGUUUCUGUUGACGGAUGCUGCUGAGCACCUCAUGACGUGCCAGCCACGGUGGCGAGCACGGGGUGAGCCCAAACACCACGACGGCCCGUGCCACAUGAGCUGUGCUGUCAGCUGGGAAGACACGUUCGACGCGGACUUUCAUGACGUGUCCAAAUUACAAAUGCGGUGAGUACUUUGGAAGACAGGAGAGGGUGCUCUGCGGGGGGGGGGGGGGGGGGAGCUUGGGGUCCCGCCACUGCGAGGGCAGGGGCUGGCCCACGAGGCCUUCCUCCUCCUGAAGGUGGACACCAGGGCGUGACCUCCCUCCUUCCUUUGGCAGGCGCCCCCUUGCCGAGGCCUAAGUUGAACGCUUCCCGGUUCCACACACCUGCAGCCCUUUCAGCUCCAGGGAGGCUCCUUCCUGUCCAUCCUUACUGUUUCCAGCACCGCUUUCCGCUCACGUCCUGCGUGUCCCUCUGCUCUCUCUGUGUUGGGAGUGGACUCCGCAGAAAGGCAUUCCAUGUUGCGGGGCCUCGGAAUGUCUUGGAACUGAGCGGUCACUCAGGACGUGGUUUAUCUGUCCGGCUCCAGGGUUCCCAGCAGGGUCCCAAGGACAACAACGAUGAGCCAGGGAGAAGGCAAAAUGGGUUUAAAUAUGACAGUUUUUUUGGGGAAACGCCUGGGGGGGGGGGUGGCAGGAUGGAGCUGGUGCCGUAUCUCCACCUGAGACUCAGAAAGGCUGUGCCCUCCGAAGCCAGGAUGUGCCCGAAGUCGCCUGUUUGCACGGGCUUCCCGCGCUCACACUCAGUGAGAUUUCCAGAGCUGCGUGCCUUCUCACAGUGACCUGGAGCCUGCGUCGACCCACCCCCCCUUGCUUGUGAGAGCAGAUUGUGAGAUUUGGGGGAAUCGUGUGAGCUGAUUGUUUUAAAUACAGCCGUUAUGAAAAAUAAACUAUGUAAACUUAAGUAAAUAAACUGUAUUGAAACAAAGGUAGCAAAUGUUUAAAACUUACAAGUUUUUGGUUAUUUUUACAACAACCUGUGCUCUCAAGGUUAUUCAGUACCUUUAGAGGGGGAAAUGCUCUAUGAUGGUGUGUCCUCACCUACCUUCUCUGCUCCGUGUUCAGUGCCAUUCGGCAGACAGAGAUCAGCCCCAGCAAAAGUAUUUACAUCACGGACAGAGGCAAAUGCUACAAGGAAG
rnacentral:lncRNA from 1 species